GGCGGAUUAAGGGAUAUGCUUUGGGUAUGCUCAAAGCAAACUUUGAUGGUGCUAUUUGUAAAAUUAAUGGGUGCUUUGGGUGUGGAGUUGUGAUCAGAGAUGAAGAGGCCAUUUUGCGGUGGGUCUUUCCAGAAAGAUUAUAUCCAAUGGACCAGCUUUUCUUGCUGACGUUAUGGCAGUCAGAGAGGCCAUCUGGUUUGAUAGAAGACUUGGGCACGUUUAUAUUGUUUUGAGAGGUGACUCCACUGAAUUGAUCCGGGCUUUAUGUACCAACAAGAUCAGGGCACCACAUGAUGUGAUUUUUGAGGUGUAAGGCUUACAAAUAGCUGCUUUGAGAAAGUUGAAUAUGGUAACGUUCGUGGAACGGGAAAUUGGGUAGCACAUCAUUUGGCCACUAAUGCGCCAUUAAUUGAUGAGUCUAAUAUAUGGACGGUCGUGGCAUCCGAUUUUAUAAUGUCCUCCCUUAUUACAGAUUUCCCUUCUUAUUAAUAAAAUUACCUCUUUUCCCAUAAAAAAGAAAUGAUAGGGCUGAUUGAGUUAGAUUAAUCAUGUGAAAUAUCAAGUAAAACGAAUAUUGGGGGC
rnacentral:lncRNA from 1 species